GGGCCCGUGGUCUAGCGGCUAGGAUGCCCGCCUCACACGCGGGCGGCCCCGGUUCGAGUCCGGGCGGGCCCACCA
rnacentral:tRNA from 1 species